rnacentral:miRNA from 1 species
AUGUAUGUAUGUUUGUAUGUAUGCAUGCAUGCAUGCAUGCAUGUAUUUGGUUUUGGGGG